GUACACCCAUUCUUGUGUAUAUAAUCCGUAUCUUCCAAAACCCAUUUUUCCUCACUAAGAAUUCAGAAAAAAGAAAAAAGAAAUACUAGCAAGGUGAAUCCGAAGCAUGAAGGCUGUGAUCGCUGUGAUUCUUGUUUAUUUUCUGAUGAUGGGAAAUCUCAAUUGCCAUGCAGAAAAUCGCCGGCUUCUAAGCUCUGCAAUAGAUGAUGAUGGUGAUGAUGAGGCUGGAUCAACUCGACAAAAUACUCAUCAUAAAAAAGGAGAUACCAACGAGCCAGCUCAGUUCCCACCUCACACUUGGCACUAGCCAAUAUAUACAUAUAUGUUUCUACACAGGCGGAUAAUAGCAUGAGCUAGGGCUUGUUGGGAGCUAAAAUUAAAAAAUUUCGACCAUAAAAAAUGGUAAAGAAUCGAAAAAUUAUUAAUAUAUAAGAUUUUAAAAAAAUAAGUUUGGUGUGGCAAAGCUCUCUAGCUAGAGUACCCUUUAGUUAACCCGCCUAUGUGUAUGUGUGUAUAUAUAUCGCGAUAUAUUGGAUGAAUGUUUGAAAAAGUUGGUUAUGGGAUGUAACAUUAAUUAAUUAUAGUAUAUGUUAUGUUAUGUUAAUAUGUUAGUGUGAGAUUUACCCCAAAAUCUAAGUAAUAAAUCGCGAGUUUGGUGUGUUUUUAAUUGUGAUAAUAGUUUGUCAUGUGAUUAAAUGUUGCAAUUAGAGUCGCAACGAUUCUCGUCUAUUCAGCUUUGGAUUGCUUUUCAUUAAGAGUUUAAGACUAUCUUUAUUCACCAUCAAUUACUAUCGGUCGAUAGGACAAAAAAGUUAAACAAAAAAAUUAUAAAAUAUUGAAUUAUAUUGUGUC